rnacentral:lncRNA from 1 species
AUAUAUCAGGGUUUCUGUUGUUGGUCUCCGUGUUGUUGAUUGGCUACCUUGGGCACGUGACGGCUCAGGUAAGCUUCUCUACUCACUGGGGUGGUGGAAAACGGUCGUCAAUAUUCAAAACCCAGCCAGAAGACCGAAAACAUCAAUCCAUCUUCGACAGGGAGAGGGGAUCACCAAUUUUCGACACUCCAGAUAUUAUCCCGCAGCUAUUUAAGGAAAACAACGACUUACUACAGUGUUUAACGAGAAUGGAAAUGAAUGUCAUGAAGUACAUGUCCCUUAUUUUGGAGAAUGAGUUAAAACAGGCACAAAAAUGUAUUCUUGCGGAGAAAGAUGUCGAAUAUGACUGACGAGACGUGCUACAUGCAGCUGGAGUGGAAUGGAAGGAUAAAGAAAAUAGAUUUUGAAGAGCUGUAUAUUGUUGUUUCCAGCAAGUCGUGUAUGGAAGCAAGGACACAAUGGACAUUUAAGAUAUUAUUUCGUUUAAAGAUACCACAACUGUGUAAAUAUUACUCCUUUUUCAGUGACAAAUAAAAACAGUGAAAACAAACAGGCUAUGUAUUUUAAGUUGACUCCUUUUAUACCAUAUUUAAGCUCUGAAAUUCCAUCACGAUUUACAUUGUAUUCAUUAUGACCAAUGGAAAAUCAGUUCUACUUCAUAAUUAGAGGACGCUUUGACCAGGAACCUUUAACUUUACAGGCUCAUCGAUUGUGAUAGGUUUGUUAUUUUUAUAAUUAGAGAACUGUUUAACACACCAGCUUUAAACGUCAUAGGCUCUUGUACUUGGAUAGAUCCAAUGUGUUGUCUAGAAGUCAAAGGUGAAGUUAUCGGCCAGCCUUGAUUUUGAUUUGAUUUA